GCAGCCCCGGUCCCAGCCCCGGCUGUCCUGGCAUCGCUUCCGAGCGCGGCAGCAGCUGACUGUGCCUUCACAAUCCGCUGGGACCCGCGAGCCCUGCCACCGUUAUGAACAUCCGCAGUGUGAGGCCAGAGGACCUGAUGAACAUGCAGCACUGCAACCUCCUCUGCCUGCCCGAGAACUACCAGAUGAAAUACUACUUCUCCCAUGGCCUCUCCUGGCCCCAGCUCUCUUACAUUGCUGAGGGUGAGAAUGGGAAGAUUGUGGGGUAUGUCCUGGCCAAAAUGGAAGAGGACGCAGAUGAUGUGCCCCAUGGACAUAUCACCUCAUUGGCUGUGAUGCGUUCCCACUGGCACCUCGUUCUGGCACAGAAACUGAUGGACCAGGCCUCUCGAGCCAUGAUAGAGAACUUCAAUGCCAAGUACGUCUCCCUGCAUGUCAGGAAGAGUAACUGGGCUGCCCUGCACCUCUAUUCCAAUACCCUCAACUUUCAGAUCAGUGAAGUGGAGCCCAAAUACUAUGCAGAUGGGGAGGAUGCCUUCGCCAGGAAGCAGGAUCUCACCCCGAUGGCCGAUGAGCUGAGGCGUCACCUGGUGCUGAAGGAGAAGGGCAGGCACAUGGUGCUGGAUGCCAUCAAGAACAAGGUGGAGAGCAAAGGCAGUUCACCUCCGAGCUCAGGAGAGGCCUGUCAUGAGGAGAAGGGCCUGGCUGCCGAGGAUAGUGGUGGGGACAGCAAGGACCUCAGUGAGGUCAGCGAGACCACAGAGAGCACAAAUGUCAAAGACAGCUCAGAGGCCUCCGACUCGGCCGCCUAGAGCCUGCCCCAUCCCUUCCUCACCCCACAAGCUUUCACAAUAAAUUUGCUCCGUGUAAAAA